AAACUGGGAUUAGAUACCCCACUAUGCUUAGUCAUAAAAAAUUAACUCACACUCACACCGCCUGGGAAUUACGAGCAUAAGCUUAAAACCCAAAGGACUUGACGGUGUCCCACCCACCUAGAGGAGCCUGUUUUUUAAUCGACACUACCCGAUAUACCCAACUGUUUUUUGAUAAUCAGCCUGUAUACCUCCGUCGCAAGCUUACCAUGUGAAUGACUCACAGCAAGCCCAAUGGAUUUUUAUCCAAAACGUCAGGUCAAGGUGCAGCCCACAUAACAGAUAAAAAUGGGCUACAAUUUCUAUGUUAGAACAAACGAAAGGCCUCAUGAAAUCUAGCCAAGAAGGCGGAUUUAGUAGUAAAAAGAAAAUAGAGAGUUCUUUUUAACAAAGCAAUGGGACGUGUACACACCGCCGGUCACCCUA
rnacentral:rRNA from 1 species